rnacentral:rRNA from 1 species
AUUGAACGCUAGCGGCAUGCUUAACACAUGCAAGUCGAACGGCAGCACGGAGGAGCUUGCUCCUUGGUGGCGAGUGGCGGACGGGUGAGUAACGCGUAGGAAUCUGCCUUAGUAAGAGGGGGGAUAACCCGGGGAAACUCGGGCUAAUACCGCAUAAUCUCUACGGAGCAAAGUGGGGGAUCUUUGGACCUCACGCUAGUUAGA